rnacentral:tRNA from 1 species
GCGGGUAUGGUGAAAUUGGUAUACACGCUAGACUUAGGAUCUAGUAUCUUUACAGAUAUGGGGGUUCAAAUCCCUUUACCCGCAC